rnacentral:rRNA from 1 species
AACGAACGCUGGCGGCAGGCUUAACACAUGCAAGUCGAGCGCCCCGCAAGGGGAGCGGCAGACGGGUGAGUAACGCGUGGGAAUCUACCCAUCUCUACGGAAUAACGCAUGGAAACGUGUGCUAAUACCGUAUACGUCCUUCGGGAGAAAGAUUUAUCGGAGAUGGAUGAGCCCGCGUUGGAUUAGCUAGUUGGUGGGGUAAAGGCCUACCAAGGCGACGAUCCAUAGCUGGCCUGGGAGGAUGAUCAGCCACACUGGGACUGAGACACGGCCCAGACUCCUACGGGAGGCAGCAGUGGGGAAGAUUGGACAAUGGGCGCAAGCCUGAUCCAGCCAUGCCGCGUGAGUGAUGAAGGCACUAGGGUUGUAAAGCUCUUUCACCGGUGAAGAUAAUGACGGUAACCGGAGAAGAAGCCCCGGCUAACUUCGUGCCAGCCGCCGCAGUAAAAC